UCGAGGGUGCGAGCGUUGUCCGGAAUUAUUGGGCGUAAAGAGCUUGUAGGCGGUUUGUCGCGUCUGCUGUGAAAAUCCGGGGCUCAACCCCGGACUUGCAGUGGGUACGGGCAGACUGGAGUGUGGUAGGGGAGACUGGAAUUCCUGGUGUAGCGGUGGAAUGCGCAGAUAUCAGGAGGAACACCGAUGGCGAAGGCAGGUCUCUGGGCCACUACUGACGCUGAGAAGCGAAAGCGUGGGGAGCAAACAGG
rnacentral:rRNA from 1 species